rnacentral:rRNA from 1 species
AGAGUUUGAUCCUGGCUCAGAACGAACGUUAGCGGCGCGCCUAACACAUGCAAGUCGAGCGAGAAGGAAGCAAUUCCUGUAAAGCGGCGCACGGGUGAGUAACACGUAGGUAAUCUGCCUCGAGGUGGUGGAUAACCUUCCGAAAGGAGGGCUAAUACAGCAUGAGACCACGUCUUCGAAAGAGGAUGAGGUUAAAGCGGGCCUCUAUACAUAAGCUCGCGCCAUGAGAUGAGCCUGCGGCCCAUCAGGUAGUUGGUAGGGUAACGGCCUACCAAGCCAAAGACGGGUAGCUGGUCUGAGAGGAUGAUCAGCCACACUGGAACUGAGACACGGUCCAGACUCCUACGGGAGGCAGCAGUGGGGAAUCUUGCGCAAUGGGCGAAAGCCUGACGCGGCGACGCCGCGUGAGUGAUGAAGGCCUUCGGGUUGUAAAGCUCUGUGGAGGGGGACGAAUAAGGGUUGGUGAAUAUCCAACUUGAUGACGGUACCCCUUUAGCAAGCACCGGCUAACUCUGUGCCAGCAGCCGCGGUAAUA